rnacentral:ncRNA from 1 species
GGGAGCCGUGUGACUCGAGAGGGUCAUGCACGGUUCUGGGAGCGCCCGGAGGUGAAAUUCCUCCGGGCGACUCGAC